GAUCCACAGUCACGGCUGGUACUGCAUUGGCUACGAUCUGUAGUACGGCCAUGACUGAGGGCUC
rnacentral:pre_miRNA from 1 species